rnacentral:rRNA from 1 species
UACGAAGGGGGCGAGCGUUGUUCGGAUUUACUGGGCGUAAAGGGCGCGCAGGCGGCUUAUUUUGUCAGGCGUGAAAGCCCCGGGCUUAACCUGGGAACUGCGUUUGAUACGGAUGGGCUAGAGUUCGGGAGAGGAGAGUGGAAUUCCCAGUGUAGAGGUGAAAUUCGUAGAUAUUGGGAAGAACACCGGUGGCGAAGGCGGCUCGCUGGACCGAUACUGACGCUGAGGCGCGAAAGCGUGGGGAGCAAACAGG